GUCUGUGACCGUACCACCCUGAAUGCGCCCGAUCUCGUCCUAUCUCGUCUGAUCUCGGAAGCUAAGCAGGGUCAGGCCUGGUUAUUACUGAUG
ensembl:rRNA 5S_rRNA 5S ribosomal RNA